AGUGAGCGCUGGCGGUAGGCCUAACACAUGCAAGUCGAACGGCAGCACAGUAAGAGCUUGCUCUUACGGGUGGCGAGUGGCGGACGGGUGAGGAAUACAUCGGAAUCUACUUUUUCGUGGGGGAUAACGUAGGGAAACUUACGCUAAUACCGCAUACGACCUACGGGUGAAAGCAGGGGAUCUUCGGACCUUGCGCGAUUGAAUGAGCCGAUGUCGGAUUAGCUAGUUGGCGGGGUAAAGGCCCACCAAGGCGACGAUCCGUAGCUGGUCUGAGAGGAUGAUCAGCCACACUGGAACUGAGACACGGUCCAGACUCCUACGGGAGGCAGCAGUGGGGAAUAUUGACAAUGGGCGCAAGCCUGAUCCAGCCAUACCGCGUGGGUGAAGAAGGCCUUCGGGUUGUAAAGCCCUUUUGUUGGGAAAGAAAAGCAGCAGGUUAAUACCCCGCUGUUCUGACGGUACCCAAAGAAUAAGCACCGGCUAACUUCGUG
rnacentral:rRNA from 1 species